rnacentral:rRNA from 1 species
AUUGAACGCUAGCGGGAUGCUUUACACAUGCAAGUCGAACGGCAGCGCGGACUUCGGUCUGGCGGCGAGUGGCGAACGGGUGAGUAAUGUAUCGGAACGUGCCCAGUAGCGGGGGAUAACUACGCGAAAGCGUAGCUAAUACCGCAUACGCCCUACGGGGGAAAGCAGGGGAUGGUAAGACCUUGCACUAUUGGAGCGGCCGAUAUCGGAUUAGCUAGUUGGUGAGGUAACGGCUCACCAAGGCGACGAUCCGUAGCUGGUUUGAGAGGACGACCAGCCACACUGGGACUGAGACACGGCCCAGACUCCUACGGGAGGCAGCAGUGGGGAAUUUUGGACAAUGGGGGCAACCCUGAUCCAGCCAUCCCGCGUGUGCGAUGAAGGCCUUCGGGUUGUAAAGCACUUUUGGCAGGAAAGAAACGUCGCGGGCUAAUACCCCGUGGAACUGACGGUACCUGCAGAAUAAGCACCGGCUAACUACGUG